rnacentral:rRNA from 1 species
AGAAUCAACGCUGGCGGCGUGCCUAACACAUGCAAGUCGCACGAGAAAGGGUAGCAAUACCUGAGUAAAGUGGCGCACGGGUGAGUAACACGUGAAUUAUCUACCUCCGAGUGGGGAAUAACUGAGAGAAAUCUUAGCUAAUACCGCAUAACACUUACGAGCCAAAGCAGCAAUGCGCUUGGAGAGGAGUUCGCGGCAGAUUAGUUAGUUGGCGGGGUAAUGGCCCACCAAGACGAUGAUCU